AGCAGGGUGGCUCAGUGGAAAGAGCCCGGGCUUGGGAGUCGGAGGUCGGGGGUUCGAAUCCUGACUUUGCCA
rnacentral:tRNA from 1 species